rnacentral:rRNA from 1 species
UACGGAGGGUGCAAGCGUUGUUCGGAAUCAUUGGGCGUAAAGGGCGCGUAGGCGGGACGUUAAGUCCGAUGUGAAAUCCCUCGGCUCAACUGAGGACGUGCAUCGGAUACUGGCGACCUUGAGUCCUGGAGAGGGUAGCGGAAUUCCCAGUGUAGAGGUGAAAUUCGUAGAUAUUGGGAGGAACACCGGUGGCGAAGGCGGGUCUCUGGGCCGAAACUGACGCUGAGGAGCGAAAGCGUGGGGAGCAAACAGG